GCCAAUUUCAGAUAUAGCCUACAUAUUUAAAUGCAAUUAAUAUGCACCAAUAGGGCUAAUCUUGAGAGUUUUAAUUGUUAGUCAGACAAUAACUCAGAUAAAUUCUAGUAAUUGCACUAUUUUUGUCGGUUUGAAAAGUUGUAUUUAUAAAGAUGAGCCGCAUCCAAAUUUAUGAACUAAAUUCCCGGCCACUAGUACAAUAGUGGGAGUGACCACUGGCUGCACACUUCAGAAUCCCAGCAGAUGCAGGCUACGUCAUGAGGGUAUUACUCACCUACUGCAUUAUGAAUAGUGGCUAUCUGGACAUCCUACUCAUUUGACGAGGCAAACACUGACUAACAUUUAUUGAUAGACUGUCCAGCCCAGCUUUCAAUCAAGCCAGAGAGUCACGGCGGCGCCGACUCUUCAUUUCUGGUGUGUGCGCUCCCACGGGUCACUCCAAACCCAAGAGAGGGAGGUAUGGCCGCUUGUAAUUUUAGCAGAUUGAGAGGCAUUUCCCAUCGUAUAUUUAUUAUAGGUCUGCCGGUGCUACUGCUAGUCCAACUAACGGUGCCACGCGCGCAUAUAAUAACACGAGCGGGGACGAGCCUGCUUUUCUCGUCUUGAGCAUAGAGAAGAGUGACGGAUCAGCGUCGUCUGAGGUUAGAAAAAAUGAAGGGGAUUUGGAAAUCAGCGUGUUGGGUCUCUGGACUGACGAGGAUUCGAGACUGACAGGAUACAGGGACAAAAAAGAGCCUGAAGAACGCCAGGUUGUGGCUAGAGAGCUGAUACUGCAGCCAUGGGCAUCAGAACAACCCUCGUUUAUUGCAGAGUUGUAGCGUCUCACCCAGUCCCUCACCACAACAGAGAUGGAAAUCACACAUCUACACACUCUCCUGUUCACCCACAUGUUUUGUGCAUCAACCACUGGAAGGGCAAACGGGGUUGUGUGGCCCUAUAGUCAUUCAGGGUGUUAGGUUCAUCGGUUUGACCCCGGCAGUCGAGGGAGUCGAGAGCCUGCAUCUAUUAAGAAUCAUCGGGCUUGGUUAGACUGGAGAAAUCCACACCAUCAUGCAUGCCUCGUGGGUAAUGUACAACACAGGCUGCUUGACAUUAUGGAACUCUCUGGGCCACACCAUGGUUGAUGUUGGGCGUAUGGAUUUGGAGAGUGCUGAAUGGUGCAUAUUAGAAAGCUGGAUUAAGGAUGGAACUCUCAGAAGGAUCAGUCAGCUCAUUCUGACCAUUGAUCUGCAGUGGGCGGGGUUUGAGGUGGGUGGUGUCGAAGAGGAGGUGGUGCGUUUCUGGUACAGUGUACUUGAGAGCCCUCCACAUCUCAGGACUCCAACUCAUGCAUUCAGCACAUGGCCCGGGACACAUAGUGCUGAGACACAAACUGGCCCGCUCUCACAGCUCAUACACACUCAGCUGGAUGAGGACAAGCCAGUAGCCUAGAUAACCAACUGCAACAUCACUGCAAAAGACACUUAGAUGCAGAAGCAAAACUCUUAUGUGUCCAAGAGUACUUUAAACUAAAACAGCAUUGUUUAAUGAUGUUGACGUGUUGAAUACAUACAAACAGGCAAGACAUUUUUAAGAGGUAAAGUUGCAUAUUAGUAUUAUUUUGUUUCUUUCCACAGUCUAAGAAGUGCCGUCUAGUGGUUGUGAACGGUACUGCAAUGAUUAAAUCUAUCACGCUGUGAUAAUCCUUUAACAGCCAUGUUAAAUUAACGUCAUUUUUAUACAACAGGAC
ensembl:lncRNA